AUAGCCCACAUCUGGCUGCAAAAAAGUGAGAACGAUAAAUUAUGUGUAUUGUAUUCCAGUCGGAAACGAAUGCUCGCUUGUGAGAAAGUUCGAGAAACAUUAAAGACCUCGAGUUACGGGGUGUUUCUGCAGCAGACAGAAACAUUGCGUGCAGAAUGAAAUUCAUCACCGUAUUUCUUGUCGUAAUGGGAUCCGGGCUUGUUACGUGCGGAAGGAACAAUCCAUAUUUCAUAGGGAAAAUGGAAAUCGUGAACAAUACGUGCCGAUACCGCGGAUAUGGCGUACCUGACAGUGUUUGCUUAGAUUUAUCAAUACCCUGCGUAAGUGUCUGCUGCAAGGCUACGAAGUCUCAGCUCGUCUUGACCGGAUGUCCUGCUCCAAAAGGCUUUACUGGUACAGUGCGUGAGCGAGACCCUUUUUGGCCAUCGUGCUGCUAUAAUUGGACUACAGCACCAGCUGGGCCUCUGGUUGAGGAACGUUCCUUAUCUACUGAAGAUAGACAUUUUCACAUGGCUGCGUAUCGGUACAGGAGCUGGAAUUAAAAGGCAAACGAGUAAAGGAACUGUUUUUGUGCUAAGGUACCUUAAAUCAAUAAAAUACAAGUAUAUUAAAACACGUGAGCGACUUCUGA